UGAAUUUCCCUGGAUCUCCCAGACCCACAAUCCACAACAACAGUCAAAUCAAAUGACCUUUGGUGGGUCAGAAAGAAAGAAGAGGACAGUCAAGACAAGUGGAAGAUAUUUCAUAUAGGAGGAUAAAAAAAUGCUGCUUAAAAUUAAGUACCAUCCUUUUUGACAAAGGGCAUUGGUCACUUCAAGUCCAGUGUGAGUUAAUUGUACUUUGGAUUCAACAGCUGCAAAUAACCCAGAAGUCACUCAUUGGGCACGGGAAGAGCUCCUGGAAGGAUUUCCAUCAACACCGGUGUCCCUGUGCACAAAAACAAAAACCAGCUGAAAGAUGUUUCUUCUUGCAGUGACUUCACCAGCUGUAAACAGAGAGCAGAGGUGGGACCAGAAGGAAAAAGUAACAUGACCCAGUGACUUCUCAGGGCUGGCAACUCCAAGGAUGGACCAAGUUUGGAAGCUGCUGUUUGGAGAGUACAGGAAAUUAAAUUUCAGCGGUUUCCAUGGAUAAAUAUCCUUUAAACGAGAGGCAGAGGAGAUGCUGCCUCCGAAAAUAUCUGAGCAGACCUGAAGCAGAGAGCUGGACCAUGGAGCUCACGUUGGAGUUAUGGAGCCCCAGCUGGCACAGAUGUGGGAUGGGAAUAUUCUGACAACCUUGGAAGAACAGACUUGGCUUUUCUGAGGUCAGAUGGAACUGUUCUGCUCUUUGUGGGCUGGGAUGGUCCAAGGGAGGGGCCUGGAAAAGCAAGGGUUGAUUCAUGAGUUCGUUACCCUGAUGUGCACAGAA